GGAUUGGUGGUUGAGCGGUUGAAGACACCGGUCUUGAAAACCGGCAAUGGGGAAACUCCUUCGUGGGUUCGAAUCCCACCCCAUCCGCCA
rnacentral:tRNA from 1 species